GAUGAAGAACGCAGCGAAAUGCGAUAAGUAAUGCGAAUUGCAGAAUUCAGUGAAUCAUCGAAUCUUUGAACGCACCUUGCGCCCUUUGGACAUUCCGAAGGGCAUGCCUGUUUGAGUAUCAUGAACACCUCAACUCUCACGACUUGUCCGUGAUGAGCUUGGACUUUGGGGGUCUUGCCGGCCUGUGGUCGGCUCCUCUCAAAUGGAUCAGCUUGCCAGUGUUUGGUGGCAUCACAGGUGUGAUAACUAUCUGCGCUUGUGGUUUUCCAUCAGAUAACCUUCAGUGAUAUGGAGGUUCGCUGGAGCUCACAAAUGUCUCUCCUUAGUGAGGACAGCUCUUUGAACGUUUGAUCUCAAAUCAGGUAGGACUACCCGCUGAACUUAAGCAUAUCAAUAAGCGGAGGA
rnacentral:misc_RNA from 1 species